AAUGUAGAGUAAUUAAACCGGAAGCUAUGGAAAUGCUAUUACCUGUCUUUCCACUAGAGGACGACAGAGUUCAUGAAUAGAGCUCAUGAACCGGAUACAGAAACCAAAAUGUUCUUAUAUUUUUUGUUUUUAAUUAUAAGUAAGUUAGAAAUGUUACACUAUAUCCAUGUCUCUUUACAAAAUACAAAUUUUGUGAUUUCAUGACAAAGGUGGGAGCCUUUAGGAAAGAUUUCAACACUGCGCAGGCUGUGCUGUGGUAUUAUCCUGGACUCCAGCUUCACGCACAUGCAGUGACUGUUGUAGCCUUUCCCCAAAGUGAGGACCAGGCUUAAACUUCUCCAUCUUCACAAUACUGUCAUCAGAGAUAGGCUUUUGAACUGAGCCUGUACACCGGCAUCGGGGCUGUAUCAAAAGUCCUGUUGUGUUAAAAAGGAAGAAAGUUUCUAUAAUUGAAAAUGCAGAGACAUUUAAUAAUAUGUACAAAUUCAAACAUAAUUUUUGAAAAGAAAACAUCUAUAUUGUACUUAAAAGCAGAGUGUGUUAAAUAACUUCUUAGGCAUAAUUCAUUACUGUAAUGAUCUGUUCUUUUAUUGGCAUAAGUUUAUUCUUUAACCAUAUAGAGAAAAGUGAAUAUUAAACAAUAUGUACUUACCUUCGGUCAUUGACAGUAGAGCACAUGCUAAAGCAGUGAUGGCUAGAGCUGAGCGUUUCAUAAUUUCUGAAAUAAAAAGUAAAUCUAUUUAGGAGACCACUUUUGUCAAGUUUAUCAGAAAUUCUCAGCCAGAAAGUUGACCUUGGGGUCCUUAUAAAGCCCUUCUGCCACCGGUGAAAGUAAAGGAUUGUGCAACACACAUCCUCCUCUGCAUUAUAUUUAAUGCAAGUUUCGUAAAUGGAAGUGGCUUUUUCCCCAUCUAAGCUAGAGUAAAAGAGAUUAAAUUGUAUGAUUUAAAUUUAACUGCAUUUGAAUUUAUUAUUCAACAAUAGUUUUAACAAUAUUUGGAUAUGAAAAGGAAGCAAUUAGUUUAUUUUAAAAAAGAAGCAAACAUUCAAACCUCAACAUGGCUUUUAACUCUAUCUUAUUCUGCUAUACACUUUAAAUGUCUAUACACCAGACAUUUGGGGUUGAGUUGUAUUUCCUAAACUGUUGCCACAAAGUGCAGUAGGCUGUAUCAUUAUGAUUUACCAUCAUUGGAACAUUGGCACAAACUUGUUUUAACUUUAAAAUGACCUGCACACAAAAUAGGGUCUCCUGAGCCAAUGUUUGCUGUUGCUAGAAGAAAUCACGUGGCAUGCAUAAAGCCAUUAUCACAACUCUAGCAUUUUUGACAAUGAACAUUGUUUCAAAGCAGCUUUACACAGAUGAAGCAGUAAUAAAAUAAGUUUGUCCUUAAUUAGUUAGACAUUGACAACUGUGGCAAGGAAAAACUACGUGAGAUGGCAUGAGGAAGAAACCAAGAGAAGAACCAGACUGAAAAGGGAGCCUAACCUCAUCUGGGUUUCACUGAAUCUCCUUUUACUUCAGUUCACUGUUGUUGAGGUGUGCAGUGAUUAAAUUCAACACGUGGUCCUUAGCCAUUGUGGUAGACUGUUAACAUUAACUACAGUCCAAUUUCAUCCUCAAGGCUCCCAUGUUGCUCAGUAAUAUUAUAGAUCCCCAGGCCUUUGAAGCGGAACCAUCCAAGCUGCACAGAAAGUUUUUCUUUGGUGGCUUUAAUUGGUUGUGUUUAUCAAGCACAGUUUUUAAAUGGCAAGAAAAGACAGACAUUAAUAAUCAGCAUAUGAAUCUUAAUAUUAGCGACAAUUAAAAAUAAUAAUAAAAAUCAAACCAUAACAUCACAAGAACAGUCUACUGAAAGGUCACAACAAAAAAACACCACCCAAAUAAAGAAAAUAGCCAGUGAAAAACUAAGGUUUAACGAGUCAAAGGUCAAGAGCUGAACUGAAGCAAACACUGAUCUCCAAAAUAGCGAGAUCAAAUAAAAGAUUUUCAAUAUAAUAUAAAUCUUUGUUAAGCAGUAUGUUUUGUAGAUGUAUGACAAAUGAUGUCAAACUGUUUUUGUUUUUUCCUUCAGUGAUUCUGCUUGUUAACGAGAGGUGUUCAUCGGUGGUGAAUUCUCUCAUUUGUUUUCUUUCACUCUGUCAAGUGGACUGUACUAGUAUACUAAAGCAGGGAAUAGGGAAUGAGGGUGUACAGUGUGAUUUCAGACACAGUCCAUGAGUGUCCACCCUGAACACUGUUAAUUCACAGUAUACUGACAUAGGCUACUUUCUAAAAAAAUACUCAGAAUGCAUUGUUUUAUAUGGAAUUGUACAGUUUUAAUUAAAAAACAGCCUGUUACUAUUUGAA